rnacentral:rRNA from 1 species
UGAGACGGAGCCAAUCCCAGAAAACCGAAUCGUAGUCCGGAUUGCAGUCUGCAACUCGACUGCAUGAAGUCGGAAUCGCUAGUAAUCGCGGAUCAGCAUGCCGCGGUGAAUACGUUCCCGGGUCUUGUACACACCGCCCGUCAAACAAUGGGAGUGGUGUUUACCAGAAGUCGUUAGCCUAACCGCAAGGAGGGCGGCGACCACGGUGAGCACCGUGACUAAUGUUAAGUCGUAACAAGGUACC